CCUACGGGUGGCAGCAGUGAGGAAUAUUGGUCAAUGGACGAGAGUCUGAACCAGCCAAGCCGCGUGAGGGAUGAAGGUACAGAGUAUCGUAAACCUCUUUUGUCAGGGAACAAAGGCGGGGACGUGUCCCCGGAUGAGUGUACCUGAAGAAAAAGCAUCGGCUAACUCCGUGCCAGCAGCCGCGGUAAUACGGAGGAUGCGAGCGUUAUCCGGAUUUAUUGGGUUUAAAGGGUGCGCAGGCGGUCUGUUAAGUCAGCGGUAAAAGCCCGGGGCGCAACCCCGGCCCGCCGUUGAAACUGGCAGUCUCGAGUUGGAGAGAAGUAUGCGGAAUGCGCGGUGUAGCGGUGAAAUGCAUAGAUAUCGCGCAUAACUCCGAUUGCGAAGGCAGCAUGCCGGCUCCACACUGACGCUGAGGCACGAAAGCGUGGGUAUCGAACAGGAUUAGAUACCCGGGUAGUC
rnacentral:rRNA from 1 species